GUUUUGGCUGACAUAAGUUGUUUCUCUAGAUCCUUUAUCUUCAAAGCAAUCUUGUUAAUCUCGUUGUUAGCAACUGCUUUCUCAAGAUAGCAUUUUUUGAGUUUACCCUCCUCUUCUUGCAACUUGCUUCGGAGCUGAGUUUGCUUAUCGUUGUUUAACAUCAAAUCAUUCAAAUGACAUUUAAUCGGUAUUAGAUCAAAU
rnacentral:misc_RNA from 1 species